rnacentral:rRNA from 1 species
CGGAGGAUCCGAGCGUUAUCCGGAUUUAUUGGGUUUAAAGGGUGCUCAGGCGGGCCAUUAAGUCGGCGGUGAAAUUUUGCGGCUCAACCGUAAAAGUGCCUUCGAUACUGGUGGUCUUGAGUGUGGAUGAGGUAGGCGGAAUUUGUGGUGUAGCGGUGAAAUGCAUAGAUAUCACGAGGAACUCCGAUUGCUAAGGCAGCUUACUAAGCCAUAACUGACGCUCAAGCACGAAGGCGUGGGGAUCAAACAGGAUUAGAUACCCUGGUA